rnacentral:rRNA from 1 species
GAUGAACGCUGGCGGCGUGCCUAAUACAUGCAAGUCGAGCGAACAGAUGAGGAGCUUGCUCCUCUGACGUUAGCGGCGGACGGGUGAGUAACACGUGGAUAACCUACCUAUAAGACUGGGAUAACUUCGGGAAACCGGAGCUAAUACCGGAUAAUAUAUUGAACCGCAUGGUUCAAUAGUGAAAGACGGUUUUGCUGUCACUUAUAGAUGGAUCCGCGCCGCAUUAGCUAGUUGGUAAGGUAACGGCUUACCAAGGCAACGAUGCGUAGCCGACCUGAGAGGGUGAUCGGCCACACUGGAACUGAGACACGGUCCAGACUCCUACGGGAGGCAGCAGUAGGGAAUCUUCCGCAAUGGGCGAAAGCCUGACGGAGCCACGCCGCGUGAGUGAUGAAGGUCUUCGGAUCGUAAAACUCUGUUAUUAGGGAAGAACAAAUGUGUAAGUAACUAUGCACGUCUUGACGGUACCUAAUCAGAAAGCCACGGCUAACUACGUG